rnacentral:tRNA from 1 species
GCCAGCGUAGCUCAGUCGGUAGAGCACUUGACUUGUAAUCAUGAGGUCACCGGUUCGACUCCGGUCGCUGGCUCCA